AUACGUAGGGUGCAAGCGUUAAUCGGAAUUACUGGGCGUAAAGCGUGCGCAGGCGGUUUUGUAAGACAGAUGUGAAAUCCCCGGGCUCAACCUGGGAACUGCCUUUGUGACUGCAAGGCUAGAGUACGACAGAGGGGGAUGGAAUUCCGCGUGUAGCAGUGAAAUGCGUAGAUAUGCGGAGGAACACCGAUGGCGAAGGCAAUCCCCUGGGCCUGUACUGACGCUCAUGCACGAAAGCGUGGGGAGCAAACAGGAUUAGAUACCCUGGUAGUCCACGCCCUAAACGAUGUCAACUGGUUGUUGGGUCUUCAUUGACUCAGUAACGAAGCUAACGCGUGAAGUUGACCGCCUGGGGAGUACGGCCGCAAGGUUGAAACUCAAAUGAAUUGACGGGG
rnacentral:rRNA from 1 species